UACGUAGGGGGCAAGCGUUGUCCGGAAUCAUUGGGCGUAAAGAGCGUGUAGGCGGCCCGGUAAGUCCGCUGUGAAAGUCCAGGGCUCAACCCUGGGAUGCCGGUGGAUACUGUCGGGCUCGAGUCCGGAAGAGGAGUGUGGAAUUCCUGGUGUAGCGGUGAAAUGCGCAGAUAUCAGGAGGAACACCGGUGGUGAAGGCGGGACUCUGGGCCGAUACUGACGCUGAGGAGCGAAAGCGUGGGGAGCGAACAGG
rnacentral:rRNA from 1 species